rnacentral:rRNA from 1 species
AUGCCUAGCGACAAGGUGUCUGGGCCGGAUGGCUUCACCGGCCUCUUCUUCAAAAAGUGUUGGGGCAUCAUCAAGCACGACCUCAUGAGGGUGAUUCAACGCUUUGACUCCCUCCACACAACAAACCUACACUGGCUCAACUAUGCGAAUAUUGUGUUGCUUCCCAAGAAGGAUGGGGGGAGAGCAUCGUUGACUUUAGGCCCAUUAGCCUCAUCCAUGCAAUCGCCAAGAUCAUCGCGAAGGUGCUCGCUAUCCGGCUUGGCCCGCACAUGUCCGCCCUCGUCUCCAACGCUCAAAGUGCGUUCAUCAAAAUGCGGAGCAUCCACGACAACUUCAUGUAUGUUAGAAACCUUGCGCGUCGCCUGCAGAGCAAGACUCCCUCUCUUAUAUUCAAGCUAG